rnacentral:tRNA from 1 species
UAUAUUUUAGUGUAUGGUGCACAAUAAUUUUUGAUAUUAUUAGGUAUAGUUUAAUCCUAUAAAAUAUAA